AACGUAGGAGACAAACGUUAUCCGGAGUUACUGGGCGUAAAGGGCGUGUAGGUGGUUUUGUAAGUCUGGCGUGAAAUUUUUCGGCUUAACCGGGAAAGGUCGUCGGAUACUGCAAGGCUAGGGGACGGUAGAGGCGUGUGGAAUUCCGGGUGUAGUGGUGGAAUGCGUAGAGAUCCGGAGGAACACCAGUGGCGAAGGCGACACGCUGGGCCGUACCUGACACUGAUGCGCGACAGCAUGGGGAGCAAACAGG
rnacentral:rRNA from 1 species